rnacentral:rRNA from 1 species
CCUACGGGUGGCAGCAGUGGGGGAUAUUGCACAAUGGGGGAAACCCUGAUGCAGCGACGCCGCGUGUAGGAAGACGGUCCUCUGGAUUGUAAACUACUGUCCCCUGGGACUAAGAUGACGGUACCUGGGGAGGAAGCUCCGGCUAACUACGUGCCAGAAGCCGCGGUAAUACGUAGGGAGCGAGCGUUGUCCGGAAUUACGGGGUGAAACGGGAGCGUAGGCGGGUAUGAAAGUUGGGUGUUAAGUCUACCGGCUCAACUGAUAGUCGCACUCGAAACUGCAGCUCUUGAGUGAAGUAGAGGCAGGCGGAAUUCCUAGUGUAGCGGUGAAAUGCGUAGAUAUUAGGAGGAACACCAGUGGCGAAGGCGGCCUGCUGGGCUUUUACUGACGCUGAGGCUCGAAAGUGUGGGGAGCAAACAGGAUUAGAUACCCGAGUAGUC